CACGUAGGGGGCAAGCGUUGUCCGGAUUUAUUGGGCGUAAAGAGCUCGUAGGCGGUUUGUCGCGUCUGCCGUGAAAGUCCGGGGCUCAACUCCGGAUCUGCGGUGGGUACGGGCAGACUAGAGUGAUGUAGGGGAGACUGGAAUUCCUGGUGUAGCGGUGGAAUGCGCAGAUAUCAGGAGGAACACCGAUGGCGAAGGCAGGUCUCUGGGCCGCAACUGACGCUGAGGAGCGAAAGCAUGGGGAGCGAACAGG
rnacentral:rRNA from 1 species